GAGAAUUGUUGUUAUUUAGCAUUCGACUCCUGCCUUCACCUCUUCCUCAUACCUGAGACUCUAGCUGCACAGGAUGUCUUGGGACGGGUACAUCACCAGCCUGAUGGCAGCCACUGACGGAGUGGCACACGUCUCGGGGGCAGCGAUCUGUGGCCAGGACGGCAGCACCUGGGCGGCCUCGGAGGACAU